AGAGUUUGAUCCUGGCUCAGGACGAACGCUGGCGGCGUGCUUAAUGCAUGCAAGUCGAACGAAGAACCCGCUAUGGGUAACCACUGCGGAAUUCUUAGUGGCGAACGGGUGAGUAACACGUGAGAAACCUGCCCCGGAGACCGGAAUAGCCCAGGGAAACCUGGAUUAAUACCGGAUACCCUCCGACGAUCGCAUGAUCGACGGAGGAAAUGGUCCGCCGCUCCGGGAUGGUCUCGCGGCCUAUCAGUUAGUUGGUGAGGUAACGGCUCACCAAGACUACGACGGGUAGCUGGUCUGAGAGGACGAUCAGCCACACUGGGACUGAGACACGGCCCAGACUCCUACGGGAGGCAGCAGCAGGGAAUUUUGCACAAUGGGCGCAAGCCUGAUGCAGCGACGCCGCGUGGGGGAUGAAUGCCUUCGGGUUGUAAACCCCUUUCAGGAGGGACGAAGCGAAAGUGACGGUACCUCCAGAAGAAGCCCCGGCCAACUACGUGCCAGCAGCCGCGGUAAUACGUAGGGGGCGAGCGUUGUCCGGAUUUAUUGGGCGUAAAGAGCUCGUAGGCGGUUCAGCAAGUCGGCCGUGAAAACCUGAGGCUCAACCUCAGGACGCCGGUCGAAACUGCUGUGGCUAGGGUUCGGUAGAGGAGAGUGGAAUUCCCGGUGUAGCGGUGAAAUGCGCAGAUAUCGGGAGGAACACCAGUAGCGAAGGCGGCUUUCUGGGCUGACACUGACGCUGAGGCACGAAAGCGUGGGCAGCGAACAGGAUUAGAUACCCUGGUAGUCCACGCCGUAAACGAUGAUCACUCGUUGUAUGCCUAUAUUUGGUAUGCGACUGAGCGAAAGCAUUAAGUGAUCCACCUGGGGAGUACGUCGGCAACGAUGAAACUCAAAGGAAUUGACGGGGGCCCACACAAGCGGUGGAACAUGUGGUUUAAUUCGAUGAUACGCGAGGAACCUUACCUGGGCUUAAAUGUAGAACGACUUUCGCCGAAAGGCGAUUUUCCUUCGGGACGAUCUACAAGGUGCUGCAUGGUUGUCGUCAGCUCGUGCCGUGAGGUGUCGGGUUAAGUCCCAUAACGAGCGCAACCCCUAUUGUUAGUUACCAGCGGAUAAUGCCGGGGACUCUAGCGAGACUGCCACCGUAAGGUGAGAGGAAGGUGGGGAUGACGUCAAAUCAGCACGGCCCUUAUGUCCAGGGCUACACACGUGUUACAAUGGCCAGUACAGAGGGCAGCUACCUGGUGACAGGAUGCAAAUCUCACAAAACUGGUCUCAGUUCGGAUCGGAGUCUGCAACUCGACUCCGUGAAGUUGGAAUCGCUAGUAAUCGCGUAUCAGCAACGACGCGGUGAAUACGUUCCCGGGCCUUGUACACACCGCCCGUCAAGCCAUGGAAGUUGGGGGUACCUGAAGUCUGUCACCGUAAGGAGCGGCCUAGGGUAAAACUGAUGACUGGGGCUAAGUCGAAACAAGGUAACC
rnacentral:rRNA from 1 species